AUUGAACGCUGGCGGCAGGCCUAACACAUGCAAGUCGAGCGGAGCGGCGGACUGGUGAGUAAUGCCUAGGAAGCUGUCUGGUAGUGGGGGAUAACGUCCGGAAACGGGCGCUAAUACCGCAUACUAUCAGAUCAGCCUAGGUCGGAUUAGCUAGUUGGUGGGGUAAAGGACUACCAAGGCGACGAUCCGUAACUUGUCUGAGAGGAUGAUAAGUCACUCUGGAACUGAGACACGGUCCAGAGUCCUACGGGAGGAAGCAGUGGGGAAGAUUGGACAAUGUGCGAAAGCCUGAUCCAGCCAGUCCUGGGGUGUGAAGAAGGUCUUCGGAUUGUAAAGCACUUUAAGUUGGGAGGCGUUACCAACAGAAUAAGCACCGGCUAACUUCGUGCCAGCAGCCGCGGUAAUAC
rnacentral:rRNA from 1 species